rnacentral:rRNA from 1 species
UACGAAGGGGGCUAGCGUUGUUCGGAAUUACUGGGCGUAAAGCGCGCGCAGGCGGCGGUGUUGGCCCGGCGUGAAAGCCCCCGGCUCAACCGGGGAGAGUCGUCGGGGACCGCACCGCUUGAGGGCGGUAGGGGCUGGUGGAAUGCCUGGUGUAGUGGUGAAAUGCGUAGAGAUCAGGCAGAACACCUGGGGCGAAGGCGGCCAGCUGGGCCGUCCCUGACGCUGAGGCGCGAAGGCGUGGGGAGCGAACGGG